rnacentral:rRNA from 1 species
GAUGAACGCUAGCGGCAGGCUUAAUACAUGCAAGUCGUGGGGCAGCAUGAGUAGCAAUACUUGAUGGCGACCGGCAAACGGGUGCGGAACACGUACACAACCUUCCGAUAAGUGGGGAAUAGCCCAGAGAAAUUUGGAUUAAUACCCCGUAACAUAUAGAGUAGGCAUCUUCUUUAUAUUAUAGCUUCGGCGCUUAUUGAUGGGUGUGCGUCUGAUUAGGUAGUUGGCGGGGUAACGGCCCACCAAGCCUACGAUCAGUAGCUGAUGUGAGGGCAUGAUAAGCGACACGGGCACUGAGAAACGGGCCCGACUGCUACGGGAGGCAGCAGUAAGGAAUAUUGGACACUGGGCGAAAGCCUGAUCCAGCCAUGCCGCGUGAAGGAUUAAGGUCCUCUGGAUUGUAAACUUAUUUUAUUUGGGACGAAAGAAGGGAAUUCUUUCCCCCUUGACGGUACCAAGGGAAUAAGCACCGGCUAACUCCGUGCCAGCAGCCGCCGUAA